UGGUGGCUCAAUUGGUAUUGAG
rnacentral:siRNA from 1 species